CAUCUGAGUUCUGGCCUUGGAGGAGGAGAAAAAUGUACACAGAUGGAAGUAUCUGGUGAUGCUACCGAAUGACAGAGAAGCCACAAACUAGAGGUCUUAUCAAGACAUCCAUAGCGGGGAAAGGAUGUGCGAUGCCGAAUGGAUAAGUGGAUGCUCCUGCCCCAUUGUUGAGGCUGGGGAAGUUCUGACACAAGAUCUCAGAUGUCCAGGUCAGAGGUGCUUCGAGGCUUUUCUUCAGUGUGGGGGUGCCACCCCCUCCUCCAGUGUUCUCUCUGCCUCUCUUCGUUUUCCAGUUACCCUCUUCCCUGGAGUACUUGGCACAUGCUGCCCAACUUGUGAGUGUGGACUCCUGGAACAUUUGAAGAAAGUCCUUGCUCUUGAGUGGAUGGCAGAACCCUACAGGGACCUCAAGGUUCAUCUAGUACAGACCCAGAAGCAGCUGACAUCCAGACAAGACAGUUGUCCCAAGAUUCUGGACAAGGGCUAAAUGUACUACAGUUAGCUGCUUAGAAAAUCUUUGUGGCAUGCUUCAUCUCAAUGACUUUCCAUAAUCUACCAACUACUCUCUCUUCUCCAACCACUCUGAUCUCAAGCAAUGGCAUCCUGUUCCCUACAGUGAUGCCGAGGUUGAAAAAUGGAAACAGCAAUACAAGGCUAAACAGGUCCCAGGGGUCUGGGUGACUGAGGAAGAUUCUAUCUACUGUUUGCUAUGGUCCUGCCUGCUAUGGCCGAGGAUUGCAGAGAGCUUCAGCUAUCUGAAUUCCAGGAAAAUCUAGUAGAAGUCAUUACCUCCUUAGGACUCUCCUCUCCCAGAUUGGAAUCCAUGGGUCAGCAGGAUGCUUGGUCUUCCUCACACUUGACUGGACAUCCUCACCUGAGUGCUGUUCUCUCCAAGCCCAUGCAUAAUGACUUUGAGUUGCUCCAGCAAGACCAUUGUGUGGUUUGUGGUGACAAAGCUACCAAAGGUCACUAUAAGGGUCCUGCGUGUGCUUCCUGUAGAUGCUUCUUUGGAAACCAGAUUUUAAAAGGAAGUGGGAAAAGUCAGUUCUGUAAGAAUUCCAUGAAUGAUUGUAAAAUUACAAAAUCUAACAGACAAACCUGUCCAGCUUGUCGCCUUAAACAGUGUUAUCAAGCUGGCAUGGCUCCCCGAGACAUUAACACCCAUCUGGGGAUUCUUCGACGGGAAAUUGAAUUUCUUCCUCAAGAGAAAGUACAAUUUAUUUCUUCCCUUGUGCAGACACAGAUUAAUGAACUGAUUCCCUUCCUUAACCUUUUACAAUCCAUGUGUUCCAAAAAAGAGUAAUUUAUGGCCUUUUAAAGAUGUCCUUGUAUUCUGACUAGCUGUUGUUGCUCGUGUUAAAUUCUAUAUUUUGUUCUCAUGAGCUUUUCUCCAGUACAUCUAGAAAUAGCCCUGUCAAGACAUGCCACCAUCUGGCUCAGAACAGGAAAUCAAAGGGAUGCCCAUCAGUUGGGGAAUGGCUAAACAAGCUGUGGUUUAUGAUUGUGAUGGAAUAUUAUU